GUCGGGCUAGGAGUGUGGGGGUGCUCCCAGCUCAGGUGGGAUGGGGGUGACCAGGUUCAGCUCAUGGAGUCUGGGAGUAGGCGGAGACAGCUGGGGGGCAGAGGAGGCACCACUCAGAGGAGCGGGAGGAAAACAGAUAGGUCAAGACAGGCCAUUUCCUGGCCCCGGAGCAGACCCUGUGGGUGAGCAGGGAAGUUCCCGGAAGGAAGGAGGGGAUGGAGUACCAGAUCCCGCCAAGAAUGAGUCUUGCUCAGGUCCCUUCCAGCCCUGCCUGUUGUCCCAGAGGGCCUGAACCCAGAGCCUGGCCUCCCAGACCUGCAAACAGGCCCCAGGCCACGAGCUUGGCCAAUCUGGGUUACAGACACAUGCCCAGGCACAGACCCACGGCCAGGCUGCCUGUGGGGAUAGCACUCCUCCAAGGGACUCCCGAGUCACCAGGUUCCACAUAUGCCUCUGAAUCAGGCCCCAAAUGCUGGGGCAUCCGAGACUCUGUAAGACCUUGCCGUCCAGGUUGGAGCACCCCUGAGCCGGCCUGAUCCCCGGCCCUGUUUUGUGAAGAAGGAGACCCACGCACAAAUCCAGAGGAUAAGUCUCAUGGCAGAGCAAGCACUUGAACCUGAGACUCCAGUGUUCUUUUCCCUGGUUGGCAGCAUUAGGCACAGAGAGCCUCGCUGGGGCCACGGCCCCCCUGUCUGAUGUAGUCCAGGGCGCGACAUCUGCAAGACGAGAAAAAUGUCACUAACGUUCCAUGUGAUUGCUAUCAAAUUCAGCAUCUUAACUCUAAAGCAGGGGAUCAGGAAAAAAAAAAAAAAGGCAGGUAUUAUAUAACUCUGUUAAUGAAGCAGUGUAAUCUUACUUUCAAAACUAGAG
ensembl:lncRNA